rnacentral:rRNA from 1 species
UGGAGGAAAGUAGGGGAUCGUAAGACCUUGCGCUUUUGGAGUGGCCGAUGCCUGAUUAGCUAGUUGGUGGGGUGAGAGCCUACCAAGGCGACGAUCAGUAGUUGGUCUGAGAGGACGACCAGCCACACUGGGACUGAGACACGGCCCAGACUCCUACGGGAGGCAGCAGUGGGGAAUUUUGGACAAUGGGCGAAGGCCUGAUCCAGCAAUGCCGCGUGAGUGAAGAAGGCCUUCGGGUUGUAAAGCUCUUUCAGUCGAGAAGAAAAGGUUGUGACUAAUAAUCACAACUCAUGACGGUAUAGACAGAAGAAGCACCGGCUAACUACGUGCCAGCAGCCGCGGUAAUACGUAGGGUGCGAGCGUUAAUCGGAAUUACUGGGCGUAAAGGGUGCGCAGGCGGCUUUGUAAGUCAGAUGUGA